UGCAGUCGAGCGGUAACAUUUCUAGCUUGCUAGAAGAUGACGAGCGGCGGACGGGUGAGUAAUGCUUGGGAAUAUGCCUUAGGGUGGGGGACAACAGUUGGAAACGACUGCUAAUACCGCAUAACGUCUACGGACCAAAGGGGACUUCGGCUCUCGCCCUUAGAUUAGCCCAAGUGGGAUUAGUUAGUUGGUGAGGUAAUGGCUCACCAAGGCGACGAUCCCUAGCUGGUUUGAGAGGAUGAUCAGCCACACUGGAACUGAGACACGGUCCAGACUCCUACGGGAGGCAGCAGUGGGGAAUAUUGCACAAUGGGCGCAAGCCUGAUGCAGCCAUGCCGCGUGUGUGAAGAAGGCCUUAGGGUUGUAAAGCACUUUCAGUAAGGAGGAAAGGUUAGUAGUUAAUACCUGCUAGCUGUGACGUUACUUACAGAAGAAGCACCGGCUAACUCCGUGCCAGCAGCCGCGGUAAUACGGAGGGUGCGAGCGUUAAUCGGAAUUACUGGGCGUAAAGCGUACGCAGGCGGUUUGUUAAGCGAGAUGUGAAAGCCCCGGGCUCAACCUGGGAACUGCAUUUCGAACUGGCAAACUAGAGUAUGAGAGAGGGUGGUGGAAUUUCAGGUGUGGCGGUGAAAUGCGUAGAGAUCUGAAGGAAUACCGAUGGCGAAGGCAGCCACCUGGGUCAAUACUGACGCUCAUGUACGAAAGCGUGGGGAGCAAACGGGAUUAGAUACCCCGGUAGUCCACGCCGUAAACGAUGUCUACUAGGAGCUGUGGUCUUCGGACAACUUUU
rnacentral:rRNA from 1 species